UGUCAGAAGGCAGACCCGGAGAACUGAAACAUCUUAGUACCCGGAGGAAGAGAAAGAAAAAUCGAUUCCCUGAGUAGCGGCGAGCGAAACGGGAAGAGCCCAAACCAAUAAGCUUGCUUAUUGGGGUUGUAGGACACUCUAUACGGAGUUACAAAGGAAUAUGUUAGACGAAUCAUCUGGAAAGUUGAAUCAAAGAAGGUAAUAAUCCUGUAGUUGAAAAUAUAUUCUCUCUUGAGUGGAUCCUGAGUACGACGGAGCACGUGAAAUUCCGUCGGAAUCUGGGAGGACCAUCUCCUAAGGCUAAAUACUCUCUAGUGACCGAUAG
rnacentral:rRNA from 1 species